AUUGAACGCUGGCGGCAGGCUUAACACAUGCAAGUCGAGCGGAGCGAGGGUGCUUGCACCUUAGCUUAGCGGCGGACGGGUGAGUAAUGCUUAGGAAUCUGCCUAUUAGUGGGGGACAACAUUCCGAAAGGAAUGCUAAUACCGCAUACGCCCUACGGGGGAAAGCAGGGGAUCUUCGGACCUUGCGCUAAUAGAUGAGCCUAAGUCGGAUUAGCUAGUUGGUGGGGUAAAGGCCUACCAAGGCGACGAUCUGUAGCGGGUCUGAGAGGAUGAUCCGCCACACUGGGACUGAGACACGGCCCAGACUCCUACGGGAGGCAGCAGUGGGGAAUAUUGGACAAUGGGCGGAAGCCUGAUCCAGCCAUGCCGCGUGUGUGAAGAAGGCCUUUUGGUUGUAAAGCACUUUAAGCGAGGAGGAGGCUCUUAAGGUUAAUACCCUUGAUGAGUGGACGUUACUCGCAGAAUAAGCACCGGCUAACUCUGUGCCAGCAGCCGCGGUAACAC
rnacentral:rRNA from 1 species